rnacentral:lncRNA from 1 species
AGGGAGCAUCCAUGGGGAGUUAAUUUCCCCACACUUCUGGGUUGCAGCAUCUGGUGCUUGGAGGCUGCCCAGGAAGCCAGAUGUCAUGCUUCAUCAUGCGACAUUUCAUCCCAUUCUGGAAGUGGAGGGAUGACUCAAAGCAGAGGUUGGUGUGUAGACUCAACUGGCCCACGGCUUCAACUUAGGCCCCAGGCAGCUUGGGGUGUUCAUCCAUGGCCAAGCUGAGCUUCUUCAGAAAUGAAGAAAUUGAAAGAAUCUGCAAUGGUACAUAGUUUUAACCCCUUAUCCUGCUUUACAUUUCUGCAUAGCAUAUUUGACAACUUGAAGUGAUUGUAUUUGUGCCACUGGUUGCUGUCUGCCUCCCCUAUAGAAGGAAGAACCAAUCCCAGCACUUUGGGAGGCUGAGGUGGGCGGAUCACAAGGUCAAGAGAUCAAGACCAUCCUGG